ACGCUGCUACAUGCAAGAUCCAGGACCCAGCUGGGAAGUUAAGGAACUGGAAAGCCCUCGCCGGAAGGACAGAGACCUCCUAAAACCCGAACACAACUGGCCAAGGAAGAGAGAGCGUGAGUGGCACUGGGAAAACCCCAAGCACCGUAAUCAGUUCCUGUGCAGCGAUGGGCUUCUCCAUCAUUCCCAAAGCGAGGCUCCAUCGUAAGAUCUGAAGACGAAGCAUCCGAAGCCUUUGCCUGAGGAGGUUUCAGACCCCUGAGUUAAGAUGUUGCAAGCAACAAAACCACGAUGGAGUUACUCAACCCAGGGCCAUUUCUCCUCUUCCACCACAUUGCUUCUCCUGAAGGCGUGUCCUGUUGCUAAACUCAAUUUUGGUGAUUCCCACUGUCAAACUACCCCUACAUUCAAGGCCAAUAUGGCAUAUGAUUGGGAAAUAAAACAUUCUGACGUUA